rnacentral:rRNA from 1 species
GAGACCGGCGCACGGGUGCGUAACGCGUAUGCAAUCUACCUUUCACAGAGGGAUAGCCCAGAGAAAUUUGGAUUAAUACCUCAUAGUAUUAUAGAGUGGCAUCACUUUAUAAUUAAAGUCACAACGGUGAAAGAUGAGCAUGCGUCCCAUUAGCUAGUUGGUAAGGUAACGGCUUACCAAGGCAACGAUGGGUAGGGGUCCUGAGAGGGAGAUCCCCCACACUGGUACUGAGACACGGACCAGACUCCUACGGGAGGCAGCAGUGAGGAAUAUUGGACAAUGGGCGCAAGCCUGAUCCAGCCAUGCCGCGUGCAGGAUGACGGUCCUAUGGAUUGUAAACUGCUUUUGUACAGGAAGAAACAGUUCUACGUGUAGAACCUUGACGGUACUGUAAGAAUAAGGAUCGGCUAACUCCGUGCCAGCAGCCGCGGUAAUACGGAGGAUCCAAGCGUUAUCCGGAAUCAUUGGGUUUAAAGGGUCCGUAGGCGGUUUAGUAAGUCAGUGGUGAAAGCCCAUCGCUCAACGGUGGAACGGCCAUUGAUACUGCUAAACUUGAAUUAUUAGGAAGUAACUAGAAUAUGUAGUGUAGCGGUGAAAUGCUUAGAGAUUACAUGGAAUACCAAUUGCGAAGGCAGGUUACUACUAAUGGAUUGACGCUGAUGGACGAAAGCGUGGGUAGCGAACAGGAUUAGAUACCCUGGUAGUCCACGCCGUAAACGAUGGAUACUAGCUGUUGGAAGCAAUUUCAGUGGCUAAGCGAAAGUGAUAAGUAUCCCACCUGGGGAGUACGUUCGCAAGAAUGAAACUCAAAGGAAUUGACGGGGGCCCGCACAAGCGGUGGAGCAUGUGGUUUAAUUCGAUGAUACGCGAGGAACCUUACCAAGGCUUAAAUGUAGAUUGACCGGUUUGGAAACAGACUUUUCGCAAGACAAUUUACAAGGUGCUGCAUGGUUGUCGUCAGCUCGUGCCGUGAGGUGUCAGGUUAAGUCCUAUAACGAGCGCAACCCCUGUUGUUAGUUGCCAGCGAGUCAUGUCGGGAACUCUAACGAGACUGCCAGUGCAAACUGAGAGGAAGGUGGGGAUGACGUCAAAUCAUCACGGCCCUUACGCCUUGGGCUACACACGUGCUACAAUGGCCGGUACAGAGAGCAGCCACUGGGUGACCAGGAGCGAAUCUACAAAACCGGUCACAGUUCGGAUCGGAGUCUGCAACUCGACUCC